UACGUAGGGGGCUAGCGUUGUCCGGAUUUAUUGGGCGUAAAGAGCGUGUAGGCGGCCAUGUAGGUCCGGUGUGAAAACUCGAGGCUUAACCUCGAGAUGUCAUCGGAAACCAUUUGGCUAGAGUCCGGAAGAGGAGAGUGGAAUUCCUGGUGUAGCGGUGAAAUGCGCAGAUAUCAGGAAGAACACCAAUGGCGAAAGCAGCUCUCUGGGACGGUACUGACGCUGAGACGCGAAAGCGUGGGGAGCGAUCCGG
rnacentral:rRNA from 1 species